rnacentral:rRNA from 1 species
AUGCCGCCGACGCAGGACGGCAGGAGCUUCCAAUCCGUCCCCGAGAUCGGCGAGGAGAUUGGUCGGACCGCUUCGGCGGCAUCCGCUGCUGCGCGUCCCGCUCCACCGGCGACCACUGCGCCGUCAAGUCGAAUGACCGAUCGCGCCUCGCCGACCUGGACUACGGCCUGGCCGGGCUCGAGCCCAAGCUGGCCUCCGCGGGAAACCCAGCGUCUUCCAGGUGCACGCGGUUACGAGGACGAGGCAUGGACGCACAUGGUGAUGGUCCGCCUUCGCCACGGCGCGCCCAUCCCGGAGCUGGAUGCCGCCGUUGUGGUCACGCUGCUCGCCGAGGCCCUCGAGAUCUUGCACCGCCGCAUCGCGCACCGUGACGUCAAACCGAACAAUGUGCUCCUCGACGCCUAG